GACGAACGCUGGCGGCGUGCUUAACACAUGCAAGUCGAACGGAAAGGCCCUGCUUUUGUGGGGUGCUCGAGUGGCGAACGGGUGAGUAACACGUGAGUAACCUGCCCUUGACUUUGGGAUAACUUCAGGAAACUGGGGCUAAUACCGGAUAGGAGCUCCUGCUGCAUGGUGGGGGUUGGAAAGUUUCGGCGGUUGGGGAUGGACUCGCGGCUUAUCAGCUUGUUGGUGGGGUAGUGGCUUACCAAGGCUUUGACGGGUAGCCGGCCUGAGAGGGUGACCGGCCACAUUGGGACUGAGAUACGGCCCAGACUCCUACGGGAGGCAGCAGUGGGGAAUAUUGCACAAUGGGCGGAAGCCUGAUGCAGCAACGCCGCGUGCGGGAUGACGGCCUUCGGGUUGUGAACCGCUUUCGCCUGUGACGAAGCGGGAGUGACGGUAAUGGGUAAAGAAGCACCGGCUAACUACGUG
rnacentral:rRNA from 1 species